UGGGGAAUAUUGCACAAUGGGCGCAAGCCUGAUGCAGCCAUGCCGCGUGUGUGAAGAAGGCCUUCGGGUUGUAAAGCACUUUCAGCGAGGAGGAAGGUGGUGAACUUAAUACGUUCAUCAAUUGACGUUACUCGCAGAAGAAGCACCGGCUAACUCCGUGCCAGCAGCCGCGGUAAUACGGAGGGUGCAAGCGUUAAUCGGAAUUACUGGGCGUAAAGCGCACGCAGGCGGUUUGUUAAGUCAGAUGUGAAAUCCCCGGGCUCAACCUGGGAACUGCAUUUGAAACUGGCAAGCUAGAGUCUCGUAGAGGGGGGUAGAAUUCCAGGUGUAGCGGUGAAAUGCGUAGAGAUCUGGAGGAAUACCGGUGGCGAAGGCGGCCCCCUGGACGAAGACUGACGCUCAGGUGCGAAAAGCGUGGGGAGCAAACAGGAUUAGAUACCCCUGGU
rnacentral:rRNA from 1 species